CAGUUGUCUGCAACUUUAUCAAACCACCAGGCUUUCGCCUGCUCUCUUGCGAUUUACUGCGAAAAAGCUGUCUUUCUCCACAUUGGAUCAUUAUUCCUAACAGAUUAUAUUUGUAUUAUUGUUGUGUUAAGGACUUGUUUUAAUUACUGGUCAAAAUUGAGGUUAAACAGACCUAGCUACGUUUUUAGUCCAUUGGGUUCACUUAGCCUACCAUCUGUUAUAGCCUUGUAUGCCAAUCGGCUAACUUGCGUUAGCGUUAGCCACCUCGGUGUCUUAGCCACAAAGCAUAGGCUAGUUACUAUUUCAAGGAAUUGUUAGUGAGUUAUGCUGUUUAUUUGAUACAUUAUUUGUUUGAUUACCACUGUAGUGUUUUUUUCGGCUAACGUCACUUGUGAACGGCUGCAUCGAGGAGGUGCCAUGCUGCAGUGCCGCAGAGAGAUCAGCCAGGACCUCGCGGACCAGGCCUCCCAGUGGCUGUACUACAACCAGCACAUCGAGCUUGGCGCUCUGGAGGAGGAGAACGCCACGCUGAGUCGAAGGAGUUCCUCGUUGGACGUGGAGCUGUUGCAGGAGAAGAGAGCAGUGGAGGCAGCUGAGCGGUGGGUGGCCAACGCCGAGGAUCAGCUUCCCCGUCUGGAGGACAUCAUCCUGCAGAAGGAGAAGGAGCUGGACACCGUCACUCGUCUGCUGGUGGAGGUUACUGAGGAGACCGAGGAACUGCAGAGGCAGGUGGAGGCUGCUGUGGAGCGGGGACAGCUUCCACGGGCCACCCUGGAGGGACUGCCCUGGAUCCUGGAGCGCCCGGAGGAGGCCGAGGAGAUAGGAGCUCAGGCUCUAGCCUCCGCUCUCCUCCGGUGGAGCAAGGAGACCAGGGAGCAGGAGGAGGAGCGGAGCAGGGAGCAGGAGGAGGAGGAGGAGGAGGAGCAGAGGGCCGAAGAGGAGGUGGAGGAGGAGCGUUGCACCCAGGAGGUCCAGCGAGCAGCCACCCGCGAGACUGCUGAAGAGGAGGAGGAGGAGGAGGAUGAGGAGAAGCAGACCUGUGGCUGUUUCACUGCUCUGUGGAACUGGGCCUGGCGGUAGAGAGGAGGCGGUAACACGCACACGCGCACACACACACACACACACACACACACACAGGGGAGUGGACAGGAGAAAUGACAUCGGGCCGGAUUCGAACUCGUGUCCUCCAUGGGCGUCAAGCCCGAAUGUGGUCGGGGCUACUGCUUGCGCCACAGUGCAAUUGGAUUUAUUUUUAUUAUUCAGGAAAUACACCAAGAUAGUGACACAACUGGCUAACAUUUUAUGACAUUCAUUUUUUAUUGUUUUAUUAUUUUCUUACAUUCUUGGCCAAUUACUAAAUUGUGUUGCUUUAUGUUUUGUUACAGGAAUUCAAGUCGUCAUGCUAUUGGAUUUUGCAACAUUACUACUAGCUCAUUAUAUUAUCAAUUAGUUCCAAAAAUAUGUUAGCUCAGAAUCAAAUUAUAUUUUCAGAUUACGUACCAGUUCCUGUAAAUAUCCUGUAUCAGAUUAAUUCUGUUUUAUGUCUUAACUGACAGCGUAUGGCGUGUCUUGUUACAUGUCUCCCUUUAAGUGUGUAGGCCUUACAGAGGUUACCUUUUCGGACGAAGGGCAUUAAAUAUGGAGGAUUACAGAUGAUCUUGGCACCGCUGGUGAAGCAAGACCAGACCCAUAGGACCAAACACUAACAUGCAUGACCGUAACAGGACGCACAUGAGAAUCACGGCAGGAACCAAGCAGGCUUACCCAAGGCCCACAAAGACAUCAGUACCACUCAGUAGAAUGCUACAAUAACAUAGAAAAAAGCAUUUAAGCUAAUUCUGUCAGAGUAGCUAUUUCUGUGAGGCAAAUUUUCAUCGUUUAUUAUUAGUGUAGUAUAUUUACGUAUUUAGGUGAGCCAUUACUGGGUUGUUAUAAAAGAGGGAGAAAAAGGGUUUAGGUGUUCAGUUACACAUAUCAGUAUUACACUUUAUACUUUCUGGAGUGUUCCAACAGGAUGCUUCCAUACCAAGAGACCAGGAAGGACCAUAGAGGGUGAAGGAGCAAUGAAGGCUGAGGUCCAGGAUUAAACAUGACCAGGGCGAACCCAGACUAACCAGCCCGAGACACCUUGGCGACGCCUCAGAAUGAGCCCGAGUGAUUCUGGUCUGAGGUCCAGAACUCAGAACACACAGAGCAGGUCUGUGGGCAGCUGUAGGAAGCUGAUUGUCACUGGAGCCUCAGGCUAGAGUGGGACGUCCACUAAACCAGCUUUUUCAG
ensembl:lncRNA